ensembl:lncRNA
AAAACCCCGGGGAGUAUGUCCAUGUGUGCUUCAUGCUCAGAUGGGCCAGGUGCAGGUGGGAGACUUGUAACCACUUGCUGCCUGAAGCUGAAUGGGGCAUGCAGCAGUGUAAGAACCACUCUGUACUUGUGUUCUUUUAUUCUUCAGCAAUUGCUGCUGGUCACUGUCAGAACAUGGAACAAACUGGGUUUAUGGUGUGACUCAGAAGCUUUUGGGCUCUCAGAAUCCCCAAUCUUGUGCAGGACAGGAUUUCUUUACCUGUUAAUUUAUUUCAGGAAUGAGGUGAAGAACGAAGUGUUUCUCUCUUUAUCUGCCAGGAAAUAAAAUGGAUGGAAGUGAUGUGCUGGUGGGAAAAGCAUCUUCUGUGUUGUCAGUGAGAUUCCUUGUAGGCAUCCAGGCUCUUGCGUCCCCAGGAGCUGUGCUCAGGCUGUUAAACCAAGAGGAAGCUCAUCUCCAGGGGAAGCUCAGGGCACUGCUCUUGAUGGGUCUGGCUGAGCUUUACAGCAUGCAUGGAGGAUAGUGUGGCUUCGUUCAAACCCACUGAAUUCCAGAGAAGAGAGUCCUUUGGAAAGCAUCGAAGCUCCUUGUGAAGCUCCUUGUGCUCGGAAGAUGUGAGGAGAUGGAGCAGCGUGUGUACAGCAGGAAGAGGAGGCUGCCGAUAAUGACAGCCGGCUGACGCCGGGGUAAGCAGCGAGGCAUGGAAAUGCGGUGUGCCCAGAGCUGUCUGCAUGGGAUCCAGCACCAUCGCGGGGCUCUGCCCUUUCCCACAUGUCAGACAGGAUGGAUUAAGGAAUACAAAUCACAGAGCUCUGCACGCAGGUGGAUGUUGGAGUGGCAGCACCACGCUGCGCUGUGAGCUUCUGCCCUGGAGGUGCUGUGAAUGCGCUGCAGUCCGUGAGGACGCUGCUGCGAUGAGCCCCGUGCUGUGCUGCUCCGGGAGCGGCUGUUGUGGAGCCCUGCGGGCUGUGAGGGCCGUGGCUGCUUUCAUCCCGCUGCACGUGGGGGGGCGGCCGCGGGUGUCCUGUGCGGGAGGAACGGGGAGAGGAAAGCUUUGAUUCCUGGCGAUGGACACCGCGGUGCUCGGGAUGGAAGGAAUCGGGGCCGGGGGCUCCUGCUUUGCUUUUAUCCUUUGUGACUGGGACUUCUUGUUGUGGGAACGGCUGUGACCUCUCCUCUGGCUUUGUUUGUGCUCCCCGGCCGACAUUGUUCACAGCGGCUUUGAUAUGCAGCUCGGAGGGGGGGGGGCAGGAAGAGCUGAGCCUGCUGCCCACCGCACACUGCGGCCUGGCAGGGGGUGCCCCUGAGCUCAGAUGGAUCUCCCCGUACCCCAGGGAGGACAGCUGAGCCCCGUGCCAUCAUGGGCUGUCCCCGAAGUGAUGAGUUGUGCCCGGCGUCUG